AUUGAACGCUGGCGGCAUGCUUUACACAUGCAAGUCGAACGGUAACAGGCCGCAAGGUGCUGACGAGUGGCGAACGGGUGAGUAAUGCAUCGGAACGUGCCCAGUCGUGGGGGAUAACGCAGCGAAAGCUGUGCUAAUACCGCAUACGAUCUAUGGAUGAAAGCGGGGGACCGUAAGGCCUCGUGCGAUUGGAGCGGCCGAUGUCGGAUUAGGUAGUUGGUGGGGUAAAGGCUCACCAAGCCAACGAUCUGUAGCUGGUCUGAGAGGACGACCAGCCACACUGGGACUGAGACACGGCCCAGACUCCUACGGGAGGCAGCAGUGGGGAAUUUUGGACAAUGGGCGCAAGCCUGAUCCAGCAAUGCCGCGUGCAGGAAGAAGGCCUUCGGGUUGUAAACUGCUUUUGUACGGAACGAAACGGUCUGGGUUAAUACCCUGGGCUAAUGACGGUACCGUAAGAAUAAGCACCGGCUAACUACAUGCCAGCCGCCGCCGUAACAC
rnacentral:rRNA from 1 species